GAGACAGUAAGGCUCAGGCCUGAGACAGCGGUGUCACCAGAAAGCUCAGGAAGUCUGAGAAAGGACAGCUUUUUUAUUUUUGAGAUUUCGCCAACAUAGGAAACCCUCUCAAAGGUAGAACUUCCCGGCAGUAGCACUUUCUGCGUUUUAGGGGACAUUAUCUAUCAUGGGAAGGGAUCCUAGCAGUUGGUACGUGAAUGGAGCCGUCUCCGAGAAGUCUUUCAUUGAGCACACAGUCCUCCGAAGGGAAAGAGAAACAUGCUGUACAUGAACAUUAGUGGCAGCUGAAAUUUGUCACACCGAAGAUCAAAAAACACAGCCAUCUUCUGAGAGUUUAUCUGCUGCAAGAUGAAUCGCCCAGAGACCCUUGGUGCAUCUUUCUUUACACUUCACCUCCCCCACUACGGAUGAGAAAUAGACUUUUCCCUCAUCCAUCAUAAGUCAGCAUGACAGGGCUGUCGUUCCCCAGGCCCGGCUCACUGUAUCAUCCUUCCCUCUGUCCUGCUUCAGUGCAUGGCUGGCUUGCUUGGGAACAGCCGAGACCUUUACAAAAGACUUUAAAUGGUCUGCACCCAACACUGUUCUGACCAAUGGGAUGAGAGCAGAAGUGAUGUAUUCCACUUUAUGGUCCUGUGUUUAGAAGGAAUACACCUGUGAUUCCCUUGUUCCCUUACUCCUUCUGGCUAUUUGGAUUACAGAUGUGAUGAUGUCAGGGCCUGUUCUGAGGAGGAAAAUAGUCUCCCAAUUUCGACUCAGUCCUCAACAAUUGUAUUUAAUUGCCGUAACUCCUGGAACUUGAAAAAGAAGACAUUCUUUUUCCUAUUCACCCAGAACAGAAGAGAAUAAAAUUGAGGCAAGAACUUGUAAGCAAGAGAGACGGGAGAACUCCAGAAAAGUGGACAUGCCAACUAGGGACGCAGUCGUGCCUCCGGAGUAGGACUAAGGGAGGCUCUCCCUUUCUUCUUCGCAUUCCUCUGUAGGACAGUAAUUUUUCAAAGCCAACUGCAUUACUCUGGAAAUUGGGGAAAAUGUUUCCAAAAUAAGGGAAACAAAAAGAAAAACUUGCUUCAUCCUGAAUGCUGGGGAAAGCUGUCUCAGAGCCCCACGGCACCCAAGGGCCUGUCCCUGAGACCUGUGUUCUAGACAACAGAGCCUCUCCGUGUGACUGGGCUGUGUAGAUCCUGUCCUAUUCUCAUCCGCCAGGACUUGGGAGAGAAGUCACCCGAGAUACAAUAAGUUGGGGUAGGGGCUUUGAGGAAGGACAGCAUCUCUGCGAGAAACAGACCCAGCCUCUUUCCUAGGAAGGGAGGAGAGGCCACCUGCCUGGCGUGUUUGCUAACACGCAGGAGCUGUGGCCUGUAAUCAUCAUUAGCUCUCUUUGGUGUUUACUGACUGUUAUUAAUUAGAAUGAGCAAACUUGGCAUUAAUGUGCCGCCAUAAGGAUGAAGGCUCUUACUGCACAACCAUCCUGCAUAAGCAGCUAGACUGGGACUCAUUUACCAACUGUUACAGGGAUGAUGUUGGAGUACAGACACUAGCUGAUGGAGGUCCAGGCAGGAGCAGGGGCGCGGAUGCUCCGGCCUGGAUCUCUCUAGAAGCGGAGAGGUAGGGGUGCUCUGCCAGGGGGAGCGGAGCCUCUCCUUACCUCAUGUGGUCACUGCUAGCAGGCUCGAGGUAGCUUCCCAAAGCAGCCCCGGCAAGCUCACAUGGUUCUGUCACCAGACAGAGCUUCCCUCUUGCCCUCGACACUGCAGCUUUCUCCACAAUUGGAAAAUCACGGAACAUAACUUCCUGCACGAGUCAGUGGACUGGUGUUCUGUUGCCCUUUGAGAGAGACUGUACCGUCCAGCGAAUUUUGGGAAAGAGGUUGGGCAGGAGGGUUGCAAGGCUCUGCUUUAUCAUACAGUACUCAUAUUCUCUGGCUUCUCUGGAAGAGACAUUAUGGCCCUGUAUUCCCACCCCUGAAAAGAUCAGCUUUCAAAGAGGAGACUGCCACCAUCUGGGGGAAUAUAGAAGACAGGAGGCAGAGGCCACGUCAGCUGGAGAGGAGGGUUAAUUUGAUCCCGAGUAGAGAGGCAGCCUGGGAUGGAGAGGGAGCUCUCAAAGACAAAAUGGUAGUUUCAACUGGCUCAGAAGUAAGGGGCUGGAGAGAGAUGCAAGGUGGGAGAUCAGUUAGUUCUCUCAGAGAAGUCACGCAUUCUCCCUCAGCUUCUCUGAAAGACACAGAGUGAUCUGCAAGCAGGAGGGUAAAGCCUUCCAGAGAAAGGGCACCAGGACCAUGUUCUCUAGGCUCUUGGCCCUGUAUUUUGCAUGUUUUUGCACAUUGCUCUUUAUUCUCCCAGAGGACCUGGGAACUGGCAACGGGCCCGACCUAUUUUGGGCUCACGUCUGAGCAGCUCCAGAAAUGAGCAGCAGCUCCCACGCGGCGAAGGACCUGAGCAGACAUGGCCUGUGUCAUUAUGGCCUCCUUCCUUCUCUGGCAUGUACUGAGAUUUCUGUGACUGACUAGGCCAUGGCACGUCUGAAUAUCUUUGGUCCUGGGCACACUUAUGCCCUUUCCUCUGACUCAUGAGUGGGACUAUGGGGAUUGUGAAAAGUAGGAGAGCUGAUGAAUGAGGGCUCUGAAUAGAAUCUGGGUGACCUGGAAAUUUGGGGAAGGGAUGGCUUAAGAUUUUGUGCCAUCAAAGGCACUUAUGGUCUCGGAGAUGUCCACGGGGAAAAAAACCCUCAGGCAACUCCACACUUCUGAGAUCUCAACUGCUAAGGAAGGAAAGGCCCCUUUUUCAUGGAGGUUUGGACCCAGGAGGGUAUCUGGCGAGCAGCACUUAUCAUUGCCAUGGUGAUCAAGUAUCAAACACCUAAAAGUGCACAGUGCCGCUCUGAGAAGGGCCUCUUUCACCUCCCUGUCUUUUCAGGUGCUACUUGUUCCGUUGGAAAUCUAGUCACUCCAUUAGGCAUUUGAAGAAAUUCAGGCAGUUGCGAGGCUCCUCUCAAAUGUCACCUCAAUGAGGCCCUCUUGACCCUCCAAGCUGAGCUAGGUUUCUCCAUUCUCUGUGGGCUUAUUAGACCUUGUAACUUUCCUUGAAUGCAAACAAAGCAUGGAAACGGAAUGAACAGUCUUUCCCAUUUGGUUGUGCACUGUCCAAGGUCAAUACCUGUGUUUUAUUUAUCCCUCUACUCCUCUAGAUCCAGGGCCUGGCAUGCUGUAGGUACUAAUGAAUGAGCUAAAGAACAAAAUCCACCAUGCAAAGGUCUUCUGGAAACUGUUCCUCUAUUAAAAAUACAUGGGUGUUCACAGACAAGAAAACACAUAGUUGAUAAAUUUAUAGUUAAUAUUGCACCAAGGCAUAAAGAGAGGAAGAAUAAAACUUUUGAGGAUAAAUGUUAAAGUAGAGUCCUUUUGAGGAUAAAGGACGUAGAGUUGAAGUAGGGAUUUAUUGAGCAGCUACUCUUCACCUGGUGUAAGACGAGGUCUGUAAAUAUGUCAUCAAUUUUGACCUUCAC